AGGUGGUGCAUGGCCGUCGUCAGUUCGUACUGUGAAGCAUCCUGUUAAGUCAGGCACGAGCGAGACCCACGUCCACAGUUGCCAGCAUACCCUCCGGGUGGAUGGGUACACUGUGGAGACCGCCGCUGCUAAAGCGGAGGAAGGAGUGGGCAACGGUAGGCAGUAUGCCCCGAAUCUCCCGGGCUACACGCGGGCUACAAUGGUUGGUACAAUGGCAUCUACCCCGAAAGGGGAAGGAAAUCUCUUAAAGCCAAUCGUAGUUCGGAUUGAGGGCUGCAACUCGCCCUCAUGAAGCUGGAAUCCGUAGUAAUCGCGUUUCAACAGAACGCGGUGAAUACGUCCCUGCUCCUU
rnacentral:rRNA from 1 species